UGCUUGACUGGAGGGCGGCAGAGGAGCGUGGAAUUCCGGGUGGAGUGGUGAAAUGCGUAGAGAUCCGGAGGAACACCAGAGGCGAAAGCGGGGCUCUGGGCCGCACCUGACGCUGAACUGCGAAAGCCAGGGUAGCGAACGGGAUUAGAAACCCCGGUAGUCCUGGCCGUAAACGAUGUCAACUGGGCGUUGGUAUGGAAGCAUAUCAGCGCCGGAGCGAACGCGCUAAGUUGACCGCCUGGGGAGUACGACCGCAAGGUUAAAACUCAAAGGAAUUGACGGGGGCCCGCACAAGCAGCGGAGCGUGUGGUUUAAUUCGAGGCAACGCGAAGAACCUUACCCGGGUUUGACAUGCAUCUGGUAGCGAACGGAAACGGGAGCGACCCGCAAGGGAGGAUGCACAGGUGCUGCAUGGCUGCCGUCAGCUCGUGCCGUGAGGUGUUAGGUUAAGUCCUGUAACGAGCGCAACCCUUACUGCCAGUUACAAGUGUCUGGCGGGACUGCCGGUGUGAAACCGGAGGAAGGUGGGGAUGACGUCAAGUCAGCAUGGCCUUUAUAUCCGGGGCGACACACACGCUACAAUGGGUGGCACAGAGGGAAGCCAAACCGCGAGGUGGAGCGAAUCUCACAAAGUCAUCCGUAGUUCGGAUUGCAGGCUGCAACUCGCCUGCAUGAAGCUGGAGUUGCUAGUAACCGCGCAUCAGCCACGGUGCGGUGAAUACGUUCCCGGGCCUUGUACACACCGCCCGU
rnacentral:rRNA from 1 species